rnacentral:rRNA from 1 species
UACGUAGGGGGCAAGCGUUGUCCGGAAUCAUUGGGCGUAAAGCGCGUGUAGGCGGCUUGGUAAGUCCGCUCUGAAAGCCCGGGCUCAACCCCGGGAGGCGGGUGGAUACUGUCAAGCUCGAGUCCGGAAGAGGCGAGUGGAAUUCCUGGUGUAGCGGUGAAAUGCGCAGAUAUCAGGAGGAACACCAAUGGCGAAGGCAGCUCGCUGGGACGUGACUGACGCUGAGACGCGAAAGCGUGGGGAGCAAACAGG